GACGAACGCUGGCGGCGUGCUUAACACAUGCAAGUCGAACGAAGUGGCGAACGGGUGAGUAACGCGUAAUCAACCUGCCCUUCAGAGGGGGACAACAGUUGGAAACGACUGUUAAUACCGCAUACUGAAGGAGGGGAUUGCGGCUGAUUGGCUAGUGGGAGGGGUAACGGCCCACCAAGGCGAUGAUCAGUAGCCGGGCUGAGAGGAUGAACGGCCACAUUGGGACGGGGACACGGCCCAGACUCCUACGGGAGGCAGCAGUGGGGAAUAUUGCACAAUGGGCGCAAGCCUGAUGCAGCCAUGCCGCGUGGAUGAAGAAGGCCCUAGGGUUGUAAAGUACUUUCAGUCGGGAGCGUUACCGUCAGAAGAAGCACCGGCUAACUCCGUGCCAGCAGCCGCGGUAAUUC
rnacentral:rRNA from 1 species